GACGAACGCUGGCGGCGUGCCUAAUACAUGCAAGUCGAGCGGACUUAUAAAAGCUUGCUUUUGUAAGUCAGCGGCGGACGGGUGAGUAACACGUGGGCAACCUGCCUAUAAGACUGGGAUAACUUCGGGAAACCGGAGCUAAUACCGGAUAAUAUAAGGAACCUCCUGGUUCUUUAUUGAAAGACGGUUUCGGCUGUCACUUAUAGAUGGGCCCGCGGCGCAUUAGCUAGUUGGUGAGGUAACGGCUCACCAAGGCAACGAUGCGUAGCCGACCUGAGAGGGUGAUCGGCCACACUGGGACUGAGACACGGCCCAGACUCCUACGGGAGGCAGCAGUAGGGAAUCUUCCACAAUGGACGAAAGUCUGAUGGAGCAACGCCGCGUGAGCGAUGAAGGCCUUCGGGUCGUAAAGCUCUGUUGUUAGGGAAGAACAAGUGCGAGAGUAACUGCUCGCACCUUGACGGUACCUAACCAGAAAGCCACGGCUAACUACGUGCCAGCAGCCGCGGUAAUACGUAGGUGGCAAGCGUUGUCCGGAAUUAUUGGGCGUAAAGCGCGCGCAGGUGGUCCUUUAAGUCUGAUGUGAAAGCCCACGGCUCAACCGUGGAGGGUCAUUGGAAACUGGGGGACUUGAGUGCAGAAGAGGAAAG
rnacentral:rRNA from 1 species